rnacentral:misc_RNA from 1 species
GAUGAAGAACGUAGCUAAAUGCGAUAAGUAAUGUGAAUUGCAGAAUUCAGUGAAUCAUCGAAUCUUUGAACGCACAUUGCGCCCGCCAGUAUUCUGGCGGGCAUGCCUGUUCGAGCGUCAUUUCAACCAUCAAGCCCCCGGCUUGUGUUGGGGACCUGCGGCUGCCGCAGGCCCUGAAAACCAGUGGCGGGCUCGCUAGUCACUCCGAGCGUAGUAAUACAUCUCGCUCAGGGCGUGCUGCGGGUUCCGGCCGUUAAAAAGCCUUAUUUACCCAAGGUUGACCUCGGAUCAGGUAGGAAGACCCGCUGAACUUAAGCAUAUCAUAAGCGGAGGA